CAGUCGCCACGGUAAUACGAAGGGGGCUAGCGUUGUUCGGAAUUACUGGGCGUAAAGCGCACGUAGGCGGAUAUUUAAGUCAGGGAUGAAAGCCCAGAGCUCAACUCUGGAACUGCCUUUGAUACUGGGUAUCUUGAGUAUGGAAGAGGUGAGUGGAAUUCCGAGUGUAGAGGUGAAAUUCGUAGAUAUUCGGAGGAACACCAGUGGCGAAGGCGGCUCACUGGUCCAUUACUGACGCUGAGGUGCGAAAGCGUGGGGAGCAAACAGGAUUAGAUACCCGUGUAGUCCCUGUCUCUUAUAC
rnacentral:rRNA from 1 species